CUCCCCCACAGGUGUCCUCUUUUUUUAAACUGGAAAUAUGGUAACCCCAGGUAAAGCUAGCUGAACUGGGGGCUGUUACACUGCCCUUGCUCCUGCUGCACCCCCAUGUGUUGUUAGCACCACCCAGGGCAUAGCCCAUGGCUCUUUGAGCCACUUGGAUGCUUUCACAGUGAAUUGUGGGAGAAUUUGUCUGUCCUUCUAGGCCUCUGGCAGAGAAUUGUGGGGAGGCAUUGGAAGACCAGCAGCCCGGGAGUGAUUUAGCCUCCCUCCUCACCAUAAAGCAGGAGGGCUACCCACUGCAGGGAAAGUGGCACCUGGGUUUUAGCACACGCCCUGUGGAAGACCAGCCCUCCCGGCUUCCAAGCUCUGUUCUCAGGUAAGAGGGGUUGUGAGGGCAUAGGAGGGCAGUGAGGGGCAGCCCUGGGAAAUGCAUAGAGCCCCAAGUCCUGUGAUGAUGUACGCUUAGAUGUAUAGUCUAAACGGGCGAUGCACGAGAGGAGAUGCAAGAGAACAAAGAGAAGCAGUGAGUAGCCAGAAGCAUUGGAGCAAAGCUGGGAAUUGAACCCAGGUUUCUUCAAGCCCUGGCGUCUCCUCCCUCUUUAAAAGCCUGACGAACGUGCAGGAAGUGUGUUAUAGAUGUCUGCAGCUCACUGCCCCUGGAAGGCGUCUCAGGUUUGGUACUGCUGGAAAUGAAACCUUUCCCAAAGAUUAACGUUCGCUUUAAAAAAUAACUGCAGCAGCACAUGAAGUAUAGCGGCGUCCACCUAGGCAGCACGGAAACCUGUGCAGCACCCUAGCUAUACGUUAGUGUAGCAGGCUUGUCAUCUGCAUUCACUGUUGCUGAGAGGCACGUAAUACAAGAGGACACUCAAUGGAGGGCUGAAUGAGGCUGCACAAGCUGAACAAAAGCUAGGAGCAUCAACAAUAAUUCCUUGCUGCCAGGAGCUGAAGCUUCCCAAAGAAACAGGCUCCAUUGGAGACUGGAAUUGAUGGCUGCAGAAUUAGGGUUUCCCAAUGAAGGGACAGAACUGAAUAAUCACUAGGGCACAUGAAUUCCCCCUGUCCUGGCUGUUACAAAUUUUAUUUCUAACUCCAAAGAGUGAAAGAGAUUGGAGGACAACUAUGUGUCUGCUCUUACAUUUUUAUUUUACCUCUUGAAUUUCCCAGAAAUACUUGAGAAGCACGGUUGUGAGCAGGGGUAGAACCCAAGGGGGUGCAAUGGUGUGGCUGCAGCCCUAUUUUUGGAUUGGAUCCUGCCAAGGGAACUUCUGGGGAUUUUUUAAAAAAUCUUUGAAGGCAUAUAAAAAUCCCCCUCCUUCCCUUUCCUGCUCUGAGGCAUGUCCCCUCCCCUUCUCAACCAGCUGCUUGGAGGUCUAUCCCCUUAUUUCCCCUUUCCUCUGUCUCCUGCCUGCUGCUGCUGCUUUCCCCACUCUCCUGGUGCCAGAAAAGCUUCAAAGCUGGUCCUGCACUAUUCCCUCUGGGCUGUGCACCCAAGGAUGCACCCUGGGACCAGUGACAGCAGCAGAGGCAAUGGGAAGGGGGGGCGGGGGGGAUUACCCCUUCUUGUGCUUGCUUUCAGAGGGACUAGGCAGGGAGCACAUCCAUCUCCACUGCUACCGUUGUCUCUGUCCCAGCUGAGCCCUGCAGCAGGGGCUUUGAAGCUUCUUCCACCCUUGGACAGCUGGGAAAGGAGUAGCAGCAGGUGGAGGGGAAGGAAGGGGAAGGAAAGGGAGGUUCUUACUUGCUCUGGGGAGUUUUAAAAAGCCACCAGAGGCUUCAGGUGUGGUCUGCCUACAUCUGGGGUGGGGGGAGAAGGAAACUGGGAGUGGUGGUGCAGCCACCCCAGCAGUGCGUGUGGCUGCUCCUGCACCCCACUUGGCCAGAUCCUGGAUCCACCUCUGGUUGAGUGCCCUACACUGUCCAUGUCUGGUGAUUUGUGCUAGUGUUUAACAUCACCACAGAAGAACACAGUUUAAAGUGUUAGUUCGUGUUUACUCUCUUUUUCUGGAAAAUACAUCUUUCUUAAGGAGGUCGCCCAUUUUUUGGAGGAAAAAUGGAAACUUUGGGGGAAAGUCAGCUUGACUUCUGGGUUUUCAUUGGAAAGUUUCAGCAAAAAAAAGAUUUAGAAACAAAAAUGCUUCUCUUCUGAAAUCUACUGAAAAAUAGGGUUCUGAGCAGCUGCAAGCAACAGGGGGAAAAAACAGCUUUUUUUUUCUUUCAAGAGGGAAAUGAGAGUGAACCUUGUGGGCUGCAGUCAGAGUAACUUGCCCACAGGGAGAGGUUUUCUAACCCUCCUUCAGUUAGUGAGAGGAUGGUUUAUGCCCUAAAGCAUCUGGCCCCUGUUAUUUACUUGCUUGCCUUCAAAGUUUUCAAGUCCUAGAUUUCAGUCAUUGAUUUUUAAUGCCAAUAGCAACCAUUCAAUUAUUUAAUCUGUCUUUCUGUAUAAUGCAGGCCAUGGACUGGCACACGAUUACUCCUGUAUUGAACCUCAUCAUUUGUGUUUGACUAAUGAGAGGCACCUGUACUGGAAAAUGAUGGCCUUAAUUUCUUUCCUUUCCCUGCUAAAACAACAAGGAUUUUUAAAAAGGCAUAAAAUGAGCUAGUAUUUCUGCCUGACAGCUCACUCCCUGAGGCAAAGAUAUGUCCAUGGAAGGUUACAAAACAAAUCAUGUACCCAAGCAAGUGGAAGAGCUUUAAAUGGAGCCGUUCUUGUCUCUCGGUGACACGCGUCAGGGUUUCCAGGAAACAUGUAAUCGUGUAUGUCUGGACCGUGUAUGUGUAUGGGAUGUAGGAGUGCUGGGAUGCUCGGUGUGGCGAGAGGGUAGGGUGGUGAGCUCUGGCUAAAGGGGCCGGCAGGUAGGAAGUCUUUGAAGCUGAUGCAGAUGGGAUGGGUUUUCUGAAUGUUUGUUUGGGACAGUCCUGGAUAUGGGGCUGGGGAGUGUUCCCAGUCUUUCAGUGAAGUGGGUUGAGUUCAACAGGACUACUCAUCUGCACAAAAUUACCUGUACAUGUUCUUGGAUGUAGGAUCAGGCCUGUGGGCCAUCAGCGGGUGUUGUUGUACUACUCCGAAGUCUGGCUACUUCAGCUUUUAUUAAAGGAAAUUGGAGGUGAGUUUGACUCAGACUAUUUGGAACAUUUGAGGCCAGAUAACGAAUGGUGUAAAUGGGCUGAACUGUAAGGGGGCUGUAAGGAGAGCCGGCUGUACUUCAAAGAAGCCUUACUUAGAGUGUGGGAACAAACCAUCCUGAUGUACAGGAAGACUAGUGAGUAUGACAGAAGACCAGCUUGGUUUAGCAGGGAGCUCUUCAGUAAACUCAGUCACAAAAAAGAAGCUUAUAAGAUGUGGAAACUUGGAAAAACAACUAGGAAGGAGUAUAAGAGUAUUGCCCAGGCAUGCAGGAAUGAAAUCAGGAAGGCCAAAGCAUAAUUGGAGUUGCAGCUAGCAAGGGAUGUGAAGGUUAACAAGAAGGGUUUCUAUAAGUAUGUCGGGAGCAAGAGGAGGAUCAGGGAAAGUGCAGGUCCCUUACUGAAUGGGGGAAGCAAUAUUGUGACAAAGGAUGUAGAAAAGGCUGAAGUGCUCAAUGCCCUUUUUACCUCAGUCUUCACAGGCAAGGUCAGCUCCCAGACCACUGUACUGGGCAGCACAGUUUGGGGAGGAGGUGAGCAUCCCUCAGUGUUGAAAGAACAGGUUAGGGGCUACUUAGAAAAGCUGGAUGUGUACACACCCAUGGGGCUGGAUGGGAUGCACGCAAAGGUGCUGGUGGAGUUGGUUGAUGUAACUGCAGAGCCAUUGGCAAUCAUCUUUGAAAACUCAUGGUGAUCAGGAGAGGUCCUAGAUGAUUAGAAAAGUGCAAACAUAGUGCCCAUAUUUAAGAAGGAGGAGGAGGAGGAUCCAGGGAACUACAGACCAGUCAGCCUCACCUUAGUCCCUGGAAAAAUCAUGGAGCAGAUCCUCAAGGAAUCCAUUUCUAAGCACUUGAAGGAGAGAAAGGUGAUUAGGAAUAGUCAGCAUGGGUUCACCAGUGGCAAGUCAUGCCUGGCCAACCUGAUUGCCUUUUAUGAGAUGACUGGCUCUGUGGACGCAGGGAGACUGGUGGGUGUGAUAUACCUUGACUUUAGUAAGGCUUUUGAUACAGUCUCCCACAGCAUUCUUGCUUGCAAGCUAAGGAAGCAUUGGUUGGAUGAAUGGACUGUAAGCUGCAUAGAAAACUGGCUGUAGCAUUGGGCUCAGACAGCAGUAUGGCUCAAUGUCUAGUUGGCAGCUGGUAUCAAGUGGAGGGUCCCAGGGGUCGGUUCUGGGGCCAGUUUUGUUCAAUGUCUUCAGCAAUGUUCUGGAAGAUGGGAUGUAGCGCACCCUCAGCAAGUUUGCAGAUGACACCAAACUGGUGGGUGUAGUAGAUAUGCUGGGGGGUAGGGCUAGGAGUCAGAGUGACCUAGACAAAUUGGAGGAUUGGGCCAAAAGAAAUCUCAUGAGGUUCAACAAGGACAAGUGCAAAGUCCUGUACUUAGGACAAAGCAACCCCAUGCACUGGUGCAGGCUGGGGGCUGACUGACUGGGCAGCAGCUCAGCAGAAAAGGACCUGGGUGUUACAGUGGACAAUCAUCUGAAUAUAAGCCAGCAGUGUGCCCUAGUUGCCAAGAAAGCUAAUGGCAUACGGGGCUGCAUGGUGGAGUGUUGCCAGUAGAUCGAAGGAAGUGACUAUUCCCCUCUUCAGCACUGGUGAGGCCAAAUCUGGAGUACUGUGUUCAGUUUUGGGCCCCCCACUACAGAAAGGAUGUGGACAGGUUGGAGAGAGUCCAGUAGAGGGCAACAAAAAUGGUGAGGAGGCUGGGGGACAUGACUUAUGUGGACAGGCUAAGGGAACUGGGCUUGUUUAGUUUGGAGAUGAGAAGGUGAGGGAGCUCCGGGAGGAGGUUAGCAGGCUGAGGGCGAUCAGGGAGGCGGAGGAUGAAAUUGACAGCUAUUUCCUUUCCCUGCAGGCCCAGGCACCGAAGGAAGAAGCAGCCCGGGGACUGCCCUCCACAGCAGAGUGGCAGACGGUCACAGCCAGGACCGGAACAGCUCGCAGAGAAUCUGUACCAGCUUCUCCAGUUCGACUGGAGAACAGAUCAAGAGAUCCAAGAGGACCCAGAGGAGGAGGCGACGAGUGCUCGUCAUAGGCGACUCCAUUCUGAGAGGUAUGGAAGGGCCCAUCUCUCGCCAGGACCCCUCAGCACGAGAGGUAUGCUGCCUUCCUGGAGCAAAGAUUCGGGAUGUGACGGAGGUAAUCCAGGCCAGGAUCAAGCCCACCGAUUACCACCCCAUGGUCCUAGUCCAUGUGGGUACUAAUGAUGCGGCCAGGAGAACCCCCGAUCACCUGAUGGCGGACUACAGUGCUCUGGGCGGCGUGCUGAAGGAGUUCGGUGCACAGGUGGUAUUCUCUUCCAUCCUACCAGUGACCAGACGAGGAAGACGGCUGGAGAACUGCAUCCAAGAGACCAGCUGGCGGCUUCGGCAGUGGUGUCUCGAGGCAGGCUUUGGCUUCCUGGACAAUGACCCGCGCAUCAUGACGAGGGACAUGCUCAGCUGGGAUGGGCUUCACCUGUCCCCCAAAGGUAAGCGUGUGUUUUCUUCUAGGUUGGCGGAUCUCCUCCGGCGGGCUUUAAACUAGGCUUGCCGGGGGGAGGGGAAGAUGAGGGCGGGGGAAGCUGUGGACCACCAAACCAUGUGGCACCAACAAGGACAGCCCAGCCUGAAGAAAGAGAGAAUUGGGAUCCUGAAAGCCAUGGGGAGGCCAGCACUAUGGCACAGGUGUUAACAACCCUCUUGUUAAUGUUCCACCAAUCCAGCUAGCCGUUGUUCUGCUGCCUGUUUGCCGCUCCUGGUAAUGAAGCUCCUAUUUCACAGUCCUGCAGAUUGUUUCUAACUCAUUCCAGAAAAGCUAUAUUUGUUUUUGCUUAAAUUUCAAACUGAACAAUCCAGCCCUAGGCCCCUAGUGCAGUGUUUAUCAAUCCCAUGGGCUAUGACCCAAAAGUGGCUCUCAGGAAUAUAUGAAAGAGUCAUGAAUAAACUUUAAAAAUGGAUUUUCCUUUAAAGGAUAAAAAUGUGGGAAGAGUUCCAGCUUGCAAGGAGCUUCUUGUGGGAGGGGGACAGGACAGCGGGUUGGGAGUGAGGGGCACCAGCAGGGCCAGGGGGCUGUUUCCUACUAAAACUGUUUACUGGGUUGGGACUGGCCACUGUUUUUUAAAAAUGGGUCCUGGUACAAAAAUGGUUGAGGACCACUGCCCUAGCAUAUUGGCCCAGCUUCUAGCUUAUUUUUAACUGGGGAAAAAUGUGUUGUUUCUAGGUGAUGAUGAUGCACUUCACCCUUUGCACCCCCUUUCAAAUUUUAGGUCCAUCUAUGGCUGCACAGAAGCACACAAGGAAGCUGGAUUUGGGGACCUGGCUUGGCAUUGGGAAUGGGUAUUAUAGCGGGGCUUGCAGUUCUUGCUUUCUGCUUUGUGUCCCUGGCUGGAUGAGACUAUCCUCCCAGUGGUGUCAGACAGUGCUCCAUCAUGGCCAAGCAUUGCCUCAUGGCACAAUUCCCUCACCUGCAAACCUGUGCCAUCUUCAGCUACUCCCUCCUGCCUUUAUCUCUUGUCUCCAUGUUUUUUGGAAAGUGUUUACUCUCUUGUUGUCCCCUAAAAGAGAGAUGGAGCCCUAGUGCUCGUCUCCCUCUAGUCUUUCUCCUCUGUCACGAUUCUGUGACAUUAGAGGCAAAAUGGCCUCUCUUUGAAUUUCUGUUCCACAUUCAAAACUUGGUAACAUUUUGUUUAGAUGGUUUUGACAGAAACUGGAUUGAAAUCAGCAAAACUGCCUGUGUUCCGGUUUGUGGUUGGGUUCAGCUCGGUAUUUCUGGCCUGUGAAAAGUUUGGUCUUUUUACCUUGAACUAAAAUUUCUAUAUUGUCAUUUUUUGUGUGUGUGAUGGAAAGGCCAAGUUGUUGUCCAGCUGUAAUCCAUGCUAUGAGCUGGAGGGGAGUGCGGGAUAUGUACAAAUAUUGGAGCACCGUUGAUGAAGCCCCACAGACUGUGCUGAAAUAAUAGCUGGGAAGGAAUCCAAGUGACAGAUGCAAUCAGAUUGUAAGGAUGAACAAUAUGGUUGCAGAAAUGAAGGCAGUUCACGAGGAUGGCACCUCACAUCUUUGACUUCAUCGGCUCCUUCAGGUCCCUUUCUGGAGCAGGGAUUGCACUGGUUGGCAGAGAAGAUCUUUACCCUGCAGUGGAUUGGGAAGAUCUGGGAUGCACAUAGGGGCAGAUGGCUGACAGCAGGCUCAUGGGGAUGAAUGGACAGAAGCUGAAGUGAGAUAUUCCUGUUGCAGCAGCCUGGGAAUAACUGGUUGUUUUCACAGAAAUUGUUAGAGGCUUCAUUCUGCAGUGAGACUGAGAAAUGCAGAUGUGUCAAUAGAUUUUGGCUUUGUUACCAUAAAAUCCAUGUUGACUCCCACCUUUGUAACACAUGUGCAUGCAGAACAAUGCUGGCACCCUUGCUACUAAAGCUGGGGGUAGUUUAUUCACCACGAGAAUGCAGUUUGUAGUUAAGCAGACCCAGCUAUGGAGCUGCACUCAACUCAGCUAAUAAUUUUGUCAGAAAAAAGGGGAAAAUGUUUUAGAUUCUUAAUUUUUUUUUUUCAUUCCAAAAAAAGGGAAUCUUCCUAACAUGUCAAAUUUUAAUUUUAAAAAGGGCGUUUAAAAAAAAAAAAAGUGCUGCCCCUGAAAAUGGAGUGGAACUUGCCAGUCAAGCAGAAGCAAAUGCCUGUGUUUUGGUUUGGACACUGAGUGCAGAAAUUAAUUAUUUGCACAGCGCCAGUCAUUACUCAUCUCGGCUUCCUUCACCAAAUUCAUCAUGCUCAGCUCCGAACAACUGUAGUCCCAGGAGCCUUCUACAAAGCUGUGAACAGCUGAGAUGGAUGGAUGGAUGGAUUUGACAAACUGUGGUCCCAGGCUCCUUUCGUUGGACAGAAGUAUUUAAAGGAUGCUAAGCUAAUUAUUCUCUGCCAUCUGCCUGCUGCUAUCCAGCAGCAUCUUUGCCUUGCUCGCAUGGGAAGAGGAACUACAGCAAGUGACCCAGGCAGAGCUCCAUCACCUAGCCUUGACAGCCUGAGGCUUGGAUUUCCUCCAGCUUCUGCAUUGUGGUCGCCUGGAGACAGCAUCCUGCACAUCCUGCAGUCAGGACCUGUUGGGCAAGUGCUUUGGUGGAUUCCUCACUUUAGUGCCUGGGGAAGGGUAAGUAGACAGGAAAGGGGACUUCUGCAAGGGGCUGAAGUGUGAAGCUGGUGCCUAGGAGUGCCGGUUUCCUAAUCCAGGGGAAAUGGGGUCAUCCUCGUGUGGCAGGUGUAGAUAGGCCUUCUCAUUGGGAACAAAGUCAGCUUAGCUCCAUGUUUUACCCUCUCCCCUUUGCUUCCUCCAGCUUUUUUUCUGUCUAGAGAAAAUAGAGGCAUUAUGUGCAAGACACAGGAGGUGACAGUGCCUCUGCUCAUCACUGGUUCGGCCUCAUCUGGACACUGUGUGCAGUUCUGGGCUCCACAUUUUAAAAAGCAUAUGGAGAAGCUAGAGAGGGUUCAGAGAUGGGCAACAAAGAUGAUGAAGGGCUUGGAAAGCAAGUCCUAUGAAGAGAGACUGAAGGAGCCAGGCAUGUUCAGCUUGCGGAGAGCACAUGGUGGCAUGCCUUCAGAUAUUUGAAAGCUGCUAUAAAGAAGAGAGAGAGCACAUUUUCUUUCUUGUUGAAGAGAGUUGGGUGCAGACCAAUGGCUUGAAGUUGCAGCAGAGUAGGUUUAUAUUGGAUAUAAGCACUGUUAGGACAGGGAGGCAGUGGAAUAGAUACCCAGGGAAGUUGUGGACUCUGUCACUGGAGGUGUUUGAGAAGAGGUUGGUCAGGGAUGACCUAGGAAUAGUGAUGCCUGUGUUUUACAGUGGGAAUUUCCCUUGCUUCUGGGUCUUGCUGGUUGUCACAUGGGGCUGGGAAGGUAUUUUUCCCCUCCUUCUGCUGUAUGUAUUGGUGGGGGAGGAGAAGCAGGGCAUUUGCCUUCCUUAGAAGCACUGGGUGUUGGCUGCAGCCACAGCUGGGCAUUUUGACUGGGCUGUGCCAGUGCUCUUGCUGGGACUUAAGCCUGGAGAUUCCCAGCUAGAGGGUCUUGCCCUUUUGCUCAGAAUCAGACUCAUUGCCACAUUUGGGGAGUGAUACCAUGGCUAGACUGGUAUGGACUUGGGGUGGGGGAUGGCCCUUUUUCUUAGAUCUUUUUACAAGGUUUUAACAACCUUGUUGCCAUAAGAUGUUGGCCACUCCGGCCUCCCUGCUUUACCCGUGGCAGGUUUGGAUGGUAUAUCUUGUGGUUGUGUCAGGGGUGAUGGUGUACUUUUGCUAAGAGGUUAGACAAUGAAUUUAUCUGGGAUGGUUUGGGUAGGGAUGACCCUGCCUCAGGCAUAGGGUUGGACUAGAUCAUCUCUGGAGGUCUCUUCCAGCCCUGCUUUUCUUUGAUUUUUAGAGAUGAGCCAUGGUGAGAUGUAGCAGUAUUAAGGUUUUGCAUGGCCAAACAGCACAAAAAUAGUUUUGUGCCUUGGAAGCGAGGCCUCUAAUGACCGCAGCACCACUCUCUCCUCCUCCACGUCUUUCCUUAAGUCUCCCCUCUGCUCUGACCCAAGUCAGACCCUUGAAAAUAAGUAGGCCGUUGGUGGGCUGCAGUGGAGCUUAAUGCACUAACCGUAACUGGUAUAUUGUGUUGUCCCUGCUGGUAAGUUGUAGAUGCCCAUUGGUCUCUUGUCCAUGGAUCAGGAACUCCUUGGAACAGAGGCCAUCUUUUUGUUACAUGCGUAAUAGUUGCCCAUGGCACAGCCAGGCAUGAGGAGAGCACGCUGUCCCAUGUGAAUGCUACUAAAACUAUUCUGCUGCCACGUGUGGCCAUGUAUUCCAUGCUGCACAGAGAUGUUACUCAGGAUCCCCCUGACUUCUGCAUUUUUUUUUAAAGCUCGUGAGAAAAUAGUGAGAGAAUGCCUUGAAAAGAAUUCAAAUUUCUGUCUUUGGAGGGUAAGUCGAUGGGAAAGGGGACUGGAUGGGAAAGUAGACAGGAAAGGGGACUGCACCCAAAUGCCUCUGUCUUUGACACCGGAUAAGACUGCACCUUUCCUCUGCAUUUCACUCCUGGGGAGCUCAGGCAGCUCCCUUCUCAGUUUCUGAUGACCCCUUUCCAAAAAUGCCUGAUUCUGCCCAAGCCUUAUCUGGGGAAACUGGUGCCUAACACUAGCAUUCAACCUAAUACUAGGUGUCUCGGUGCUUCUGAGGUUCAAUGACAGCAUCAGAACUUCUCACCUAAGCCCAUGACCUGCAUUUUAAGUGUUGCAAGAUCUGUUUUAAAAACAGCGAGAGCUGGCAACGUGAAAAAAGUGGAUGGAGCAUUGGUGGGGUGGAGGGUGGAAGGAAGCAGUAGAGCAACAUACAGAAUCACAGAAAAACAGGCACUUCAAGAGAUCGUCUAAAUUCAUCUCUAUGGUCCAGGCGGGUUCAACUGUGCCUAGACCAUUCCUCUUAGAGGAGAUCCCCAUCCCUCCCUCUCAGCCUACACAAAGGGAUCUAGGUUGCUGGCCUGUUUCUGCAGGCUUUCUCUCUUGCAAGCCCUGGGACCUUGUUGGCCCUUCUGCCCUUUGCUCCCAUGUAUCAGCAAUACAGUGAGAGCUGUCUAGAAAUGUCCGGAGUGGUUCUUUCCCUACCCCACCCCAGCUGAAUCCAAGACCUCUCUGGCAAAUUAAUGUGCAAGGCCACCAGCGGUGUGUGGGUGGAGGGGUGUGCGCAGGGAGUCCUGUGAGCUGAGAGCUGCGUCUGAUGAUGUUGGCAGCGAGGGACACAGGAAGGGAGGAAUGGUGGCUUGUUCUUAUCUGUGGCAUUUGUGCGUUUGGCCCAGGUGGGGCUUGGAUGUAUGUGUAAUUUAUGAUGAUGGAGCUUAUCACGGUAGCAGCCAGAGCCUCCAAGCAGGGUCAGAGGCCCCUCAGGCCAGGUGCUGCUUUUGUAUCCCGUUUCCUCUUCUUUUGGUGAAUGCUGCUGCCAUCUUUUUGGCCUGUAUUUUUAUCAUUUAAUAAUUCCCUUUCAAGCUCCAGUCUUGUAGGGUCCAUUCAAGAUCCUUCCUUGGCCAGGACACAUGACCCUCAAGCCCUGAUACGGGUCCUCCAGCACCAUGGCUUGGGUCUUCCGUUCCUAUGGGCAGCCGUUCCUCAGUAGUGCCAAAGGAGGGUGGGAAUAAGUGGUGUCCUCCAAAGGUCACAUCUGCAGCAAUGCUCUGACCUCACUGGAUCCCAUGAAAGGCUGUUGCUGCAGCCCCUUCUCACAGCCUGUGAAGCUGGGGGAGACUGGGAGCUGCCUUGCGCUGCUGGGGUUGAGGACACUACCCCUCACAUCUGAGUCGUGGUACUGGAGAGGCCCGGGGGCAUUACAUCCCUCACCCCCUCACUUCCCACUUACCCGGGAGACAGGGAAGUCCCUCUUAACACCUCUUCCUGCUCUGUGCAGCUUGGAGGCAGAAGCUGCACACCAGCUGCUGGCAGGGGUAGGGGAGAUAGGCACCCCCUUGCAUAGGCCCAGGCACACAGACUGAGCUGAUAGCGUAAUGCAGGAGUUGCCUGUCUCUGCCAACACUCAGCCCGUGUCCAUUCAGCCUGGUCUCCAUCACCAUUAAAUAACACAAGCCGUUGUGUGAAGAGCACAAAGGAUCUCUGCUUCCCCUUGGCCGCUCUGCCCCAGCUCUCUCAGCAGUUAAUUCAAGCAGACAAGGCUUCAUGCCUAUGAACUGGGGAGUCUCUAGCAUUAUCCCUGCAUUGUCAUGUUACUGCAGGGAGCCUGUUCCCCCUCAUGGGCUAGCUGUGCCCAGUGGAGAAGCAGGGAGCCCUGCGUGAUCACAGCGGGGCAGCGCCAGUGGUGCUCGUGGGUGCAUGCAGGGGGAGCAAUAGGCAAUCACAGCAGUUUGUGGCUGGGUCCAAUUAUAAAGCAAAGUAUAUUAAAAAGUGUCCCUGGGGCACAGGGCGCCCCUGCCUCCUCCAUCAGCACCCCCUGAUUGCACUGAGGCUGCCCACUGGGACUCCAGCCAUCACGUGCCCAUCCCUUCCCUUUGCUCGUCUGGUUUGUGGGGAAGGGGUGGAUGCUGCUGCUCCCCACAGGCCUCUCCUCGCUUCCCCCAGCUCACGCUCCUGAAGUUAUCCAGCUUCAACACCACUCGCCGGCUCUCUUCUUCCCUGUUAAUUCAAGCCAGGGGGGAGAGGCGAUCGGGUACUGGUUUCCAGUGGCUGGACGAGGCUGGCAGGCAAGCACGCAAAUGGGAGCCUGCCUAUACUGGGGACGAGAAAGGGGUUUUGUUCAAAAAACUGCAUGGAGUCAGAGUAUUUUCCCCUAUUUUCUGUGAGUGACAUUUUUUUCUGUAAAUAUUUUUCCAUUCUUAAAAAGAAAAAGGUAGUUUACCAAAAUCCCACCUUUUUAUCCAAAACUGAAUUUUGAAAAUAAAAAAAAAGUUUUGACUUUUGUUUUUACAGUAAAAUGAAUCACAGAACAUUUGGGGAAAAAUGAAGUUUCUUCCAAACAUAUAGUCCAUUGGAAACGUAAAGGUAUUAUCAACCUUUAAGUUUCCAAUGGACUAUAUGGCCUUUUCUCUGGCCAAGCCCUGUUAGAUGAAACCCCUUAAGAGUGGAAAUAAAACCAUUUUUCUUCAUGGGGUUGGGGUGGGUGGGGACAUUAGGAGCCUGAAUCCUUAAGUUAUGGAGCCUGUUAUACAUACAUAAAUGGGUGUGAGGGGCUGCUAUACUAUAGCAUACAAUUUUACUUUAUACUUCCUUACAUGCCACACAAGGUGCAAGAGGGGAAGAUGGGUCCACCAUCCCCGGUACAGGCUGGCCAUGGUGGUAUACAGGGCCUUUGGUCGACUUUAAUCCCAGUCAGUGAGUGGGGGCCUCUGUCCACAUCUCCUGAACAGAAGAACCCAGUUAUUGAUACAGGGUCAAAUCCUCAACCCUGCUUAGAUGGUUUUGAAAGCUGUCUCACCCUGCUAGCUGGGACAGAAUCCAGGAUGGCAGAAGCCAUGGCUGGCAUAAGUGAGUAUAUUUACCAGGUACACAGCUCUCCUUACUGCUCCUAGCUUUGGGGCACAGCCAGGAAGAUGGGAGCCUAACAGCAAUGUUGCUACAUCCUGGUGAUCCCUGGCUGGUGUGCUGGUUCCUAAAGGGCCAUAACCAGGCACUGUAAGUCAGAGCAGCCUUGAGGCUGCUCUACACUGUUUUGAGAUAAAAGUGAUAGACAUUGUGAACACCUUGGUACAAGGAUGGAUCUGGAGGGCAGGAGGAGAGGUGCAGUGGGUCAGCUGCACUCUUAUUCCUCGCCAAACUUUAAAACCAAUUGCUGGGAGAGGCAGUGGCAUUUCUAUUCAGGCAGUGCUGAGAAAAUAGAUUCCCUUCAUGGCUCCUUGUCAUUGUUCAGGUUGAUCUCGAGCUACUCCACAGGUAUUAACAACCCUCUGUCUGUCAGCCACUCCUGGUAACAUGUCUCUUCUAUUUCAUAGCGCUGCAGACUGUUUUUAGCUUUAGGUUAAAAACUUAACUAAGAUAUGGUCAUAUUAACUCUGGUGUAGAAAUGACUGGCAGUGAAGUAUUGGAGGCACUGUCAAGAUGCUCCAGAAGGCUAGGUUUUGUUUCAUGAGUCUGAAUAAGAGAUGUACAUUGAAGUUUAAUGCCUGCAGGACUAAUGACACAACUUUUUUUUGCCUAAUUUGGUGUGGUUUUUUAAGCUCUAUAUGUAAUCUAGCAAAUUAAUACAAAUUCUAAUAGUUAUAUUUGCUUUUACUUUGAUCGUUAACUGAAUAAUGUAGUGCUCACCCUGAUUAUAUUAAUAAAACAUCUAGUAUUUUUACUGGAGAAAAAUAUUGUAUGUGAUGAUGUACCACACUGUCUGCAUACCUGCUUUCUAAAAUCGUGGAUCCACCCAUGCCCUGGUGAAGUAUAUGGAUGUCCAGUGUUCAGACUUGCCACAGUGACGUUUUUUGGCAGAGUCGUCCCAGAGGAGGCCUGAAGACAGAAGGGCUUACACUUGGGGUCAGUUCCUGUUCCACCCAUCUUAAGUGAUACUUUAAUACCUAAAUUCAAUCUUAUUGCACUUUACUCAAGUCUAGGGAAACCUGUUAGUACAAAAGGUGGGUGGGUCCUCUUCUUCCACCCUGCUUUUUUCUGAUCUACACUUAAGAUGUAUUACAAAAGUAAUGGUCAGUGGUUUUCAGGGACUCAAGCAGGGUGGAAUAAGAUCUAAGUGACACUGUGCGUCUACACAAGAUGCUGUACUAUGCAGUAGACUUAUCUACUGUGCAGUAAAGUGUCUCUUUUUAACCAUGCACUAAGCUACUACCAUGUGAUUAUCUACUACCUGAAAAUACAGGUAGUAGAUUUACUGCACGUUAGCUAAAGCAUAGUAGGGCAUGUGUAGAUGCUGACUGGGAGUAAAUUUGUUCCGGUCAGCCAGAGCAACGUGGCUGUCUGUCCCUCCAACCACGGGGCAGGUGCGGCUCCUUAGAAGUCCCUGCCUGGCCUUUAGCCCCUGGGCCCACUGCUCCCUUCCUCUGGCCACUGCAUGCUGUUGAGGUGGGGUUGACUUGGUUGUAGCAGUGCUGUACAGCCCCAUCCGGACUCCCAGGCCUCUGUUGGCUGCACCCUGGCCCCUGGGCACCAUGCCCCUUGCCUGUGGAUACAUACCUGGACCCAGUGGCACCUGGAGUCCUUGGCAGAGGCAGCACCACUGAUGGCAGCACCCCUGACCCUGGACAGAACAGCCCAGGGGCCAGCUGGGCAACAGGAGAUACUGCCAACCUCAUUGCUAUCUUGGGUGAGGCUGAGGCCCACAGAUGGUUUGGCUGGGGCACCUGGGCAAACAUGCAUAUUUAUGAAGACAUGGCACGCAGGAUCUCAGCCACGAGUGGUCUGAGCAGCAGAGCCACAUCAAGGUGAAGGCCCUGUGGGCACAGGAGGUCUGUGUGAUGGACCAUGGCCUGCAGGUGGGAGCUGGACCAAAUCCUGGCUCCAGCCCAGGCUGUGCCUCUGAGCUGCACAGAGCAUUGCCACAUUGACUGGGGUGUUGGGGAGAGGGGGCAGGAAGGAGUUCCGUGUUACAGAGAAAUAAAGGUUCUUGAUGUGAAAUGGUCUGGGUGGUCUUGGGGGUGCACUGUGGGCCUGGGGUCUGUGGGCAGCCACCCAGGUGCCCUACGAUGGAGGGUGGGGAGGAGGUGAUCCAUGAGUGCCUUACAGACAGUGCCCUGUCUGCUGCUGCUGGGGAGCGGCCAUGGCACACUCACCACAGGCUCCCAGGAUAGCGUUCCCCCGCCCCAACAGAGACCCCUGCCAGGCGGAGCCUCCCUCCCUUCCCUGGAGACCUCUGCCAGCCUGAGCCUGCCCCCACCCCGAGCCCCUUGCCAGC